rnacentral:rRNA from 1 species
GACGAACGCUGGCGGCGUGCUUAACACAUGCAAGUCGAACGGAAAGGCCCUGCUUUUGUGGGGUGCUCGAGUGGCGAACGGGUGAGUAACACGUCAGUAACCUGCCCUUGACUUUGGGAUAACUUCAGGAAACUGGGGCUAAUACCGGAUAGGAGCUCCUGCUGCAUGGUGGGGGUUGGAAAGUUUCGGCGGUUGGGGAUGGACUCGCGGCUUAUCAGCUUGUUGGUGGGGUAGUGGCUUACCAAGGCUUUGACGGGUAGCCGGCCUGAGAGGGUGACCGGCCACAUUGGGACUGAGAUACGGCCCAGACUCCUACGGGAGGCAGCAGUGGGGAAUAUUGCACAAUGGGCGGAAGCCUGAUGCAGCAACGCCGCGUGCGGGAUGACGGCCUUCGGGUUGUAAACCGCUUUCGCCUGUGACGAAGCGUGAGUGACGGUAAUGGGUAAAGAAGCACCGGCUAACUACGUG